AUGUGUGUCCCUGACCUCAGUGUUCUCAGGAGUGCUGUAUUAGGAGAUAAACAUUAUAAUUUGGGAGCCAUUGUUGCACGUAGGUUGCAUAAUAAUAGAAUUAAUGGAGAUUUCUUUGGUGGAAUUUAUGCAACCCGUUUAGCUAAUUUUCUUGGUAUAUCCAUACGUGAGAAUGAUAUUGAGUUGCCUCCUGCUUAUUUAGACUAUGUUGCUAUGGUUCGUCAUCUGUUUGUUGAGAGGGACGAACCGCCCUUUCAGUACCGGCUAAUCUUUGACAGACGACGCACCUAUCACGUCGCUCUCCCUGCUCCUACUUUCUUUGACUUUCAGGAAAAAGGGAGAAAUUUCAUAACCAGGGAGGAGGCAAACGAGUAUGAGAGGAGGACGAGAGCAGCUAGCCUCCAAGCUGCAGCCCACAAUGCAAUAGCCGCAUCAUCUUAG
rnacentral:rRNA from 1 species